GGAAGCAAAAGUCGUAACAAGGUUUCCGUAGGUGAACCUGCGGAAGGAUCAUUAGAGAGAAUAUGCCCUUCGGGGUAGAUCUCCCACCCUUUGUUUAUAUUACCUUUGUUGCUUUGGCAGGCCCGUCUUCGGACCACCGGCUUCGGCUGGUCAGUGCUUGCCAGAGGACCCAAAACUCUUAUUAUUAAUGUCGUCUGAGUACUAUAUAAUAGUUAAAACUUUCAACAACGGAUCUCUUGGUUCUG
rnacentral:misc_RNA from 1 species